rnacentral:rRNA from 1 species
UACGUAGGGCGCAAGCGUUGUCCGGAAUUACUGGGCGUAAAGAGCUCGUAGGUGGUUUGUCGCGUUGUCCGUGAAAACUCACAACUCAAUUGUGGGCGUGCGGGCGAUACGGGGCAGACUGGAGUACUGCAGGGGAGACUGGAAUUCCUGGUGUAGCGGUGGAAUGCGCAGAUAUCAGGAGGAACACCGGUGGCGAAGGCGGGUCUCUGGGCAGUAACUGACGCUGAGGAGCGAAAGCGUGGGGAGCGAACAGG